AUUGAACGCUGGCGGCAGGCCUAACACAUGCAAGUCGAACGGUAACAGGAAGAAGCUUGCUUCUUUGCUGACGAGUGGCGGACGGGUGUGUCAUGUCUGGGACACUGCCUGAUGGAGGGGGAUAACUACUGGAAACGGUAGCUAAUACCGCAUAACGUCGCAAGCCCAAAGUGGGGGACCUUCGGGCCUCUUGCCAUUGGAUGUGCCCAGAUGGGAUUAGCUAGUAGGUGGGGUAACGGCUCACCUAGGCGACGAUCCCUAGCUGGUCUGAGAGGAUGACCAGCCACACUGGAACUGAGACACGGUCCAGACUCCUACGGGAGGCAGCAGUGGGGAAUAUUGCGCAAUGGGCGCAAGCCUGAUGCAGCCAUGCCGCGUGUAUGAAGAAGGCCUUCGGGUUGUAAAGUACUUUCAGCGGGGAGGAAGGGAGUAAAGUUAAUACCUUUGCUCAUUGACGUUACCCGCAGAAGAAGCACCGGCUAACUCCGUG
rnacentral:rRNA from 1 species